GGGCGUGUAGCUCAGUUGGUAGAGCGUGUCAUUAGCAUCUUCUACCCCUACUUGACAAGGUCUUUGGUUCGAUUCCUAACUCGUCCA